CUUACCAUGCAGUCGAACGGCAGCACGGGGGCAACCCUGGUGGCGAGUGGCGAACGGGUGAGUAAUACAUCGGAACGUGUCCUGUAGUGGGGGAUAGCCCGGCGAAAGCCGGAUUAAUACCGCAUACGCUCUACGGAGGAAAGGGGGGGAUCUUAGGACCUCCCGCUACAGGGGCGGCCGAUGGCAGAUUAGCUAGUUGGUGGGGUAAAGGCCUACCAAGGCGACGAUCUGUAGCUGGUCUGAGAGGACGACCAGCCACACUGGGACUGAGACACGGCCCAGACUCCUACGGGAGGCAGCAGUGGGGAAUUUUGGACAAUGGGCGAAAGCCUGAUCCAGCAAUGCCGCGUGUGUGAAGAAGGCCUUCGGGUUGUAAAGCACUUUUGUCCGGAAAGAAAACCUCCGCCCUAAUAUGGUGGGGGGAUGACGGUACCGGAAGAAUAAGCACCGGCUAACUACGUGCCAGCAGCCGCGGUAAUACGUAGGGUGCAAGCGUUAAUCGGAAUUACUGGGCGUAAAGCGUGCGCAGGCGGUCCGCUAAGACAGAUGUGAAAUCCCCGGGCUUAACCUGGGAACUGCAUUUGUGACUGGCGGGCUAGAGUAUGGCAGAGGGGGGUAGAAUUCCACGUGUAGCAGUGAAAUGCGUAGAGAUGUGGAGGAAUACCGAUGGCGAAGGCAGCCCCCUGGGCCAAUACUGACGCUCAUGCACGAAAGCGUGGGGAGCAAACAGGAUUAGAUACCCUGGUAGUCCACGCCCUAAACGAUGUCAACUAGUUGUUGGGGAUUCAUUUCCUUAGUAACGUAGCUAACGCGUGAAGUUGACCGCCUGGGGAGUACGGUCGCAAGAUUAAAACUCAAGGAAAU
rnacentral:rRNA from 2 species